AGAGUUUGAUCAUGGCUCAGAACGAACGCUGGCGACGUGGAUUAGGCAUGCAAGUCGUGCGCGAAAGUGGGCUUCGGCCUGCGAGUAGAGCGGCGAACUGGUGAGUACAAGGUGACUAACCUGCCCUGUAGUUGGGAAUAACCUCGCGAAAGUGGGGCUAAUACCGAAUGGUCUCGAUAAUGGCAUCUUUAUCGAGUAAAGCCGCAAGGCGCUACAGGAUGGAGUCACCCCCCAUUAGCUAGUUGGUGAGGUAACGGCUCACCAAGGCUACGAUGGGUAGCUGGUCUGAGAGGAUGGUCAGCCACACUGGGACUGAGAUACGGCCCAGACUCCUACGGGGGGCAGCAGUCUAGAGGCUUCGACAAUGCCCGAAAGGGUGAUCGAGCGACGCCGCGUGCGGGAUGAAGGCCUUCGGGUUGUAAACCGCUUUUGUUCAAGGUGAAGGCAUGGGUCGUGAACUCGUGCUUGACGGUACUGAAAGAAUAAGCCCCGGCUAACUCCGUGCCAGCAGCCGCGGUAAGACGGAGGGGGCGAGCGUUGUUCGGAAUUAUUGGGCGUAAGGGGCGCGUAGGCUGAUCGUUAAGUCUGGUGUGAAAUGUUCACCGCUCACCGGGGACACGCCACUGGAAACUGACGAUCUGGAGUAUGGAAGAGGCACAUGGAAUUCUGGGUGUAGCGGUGGAAUGCGUAGAUAUCCAGAAGAACACCGGUGGCGAAGGCGGUGUGCUGGUCCAUUACUGACGCUGAGGCGCGAAAGCCAGGGGAGCAAACGGGAUUAGAUACCCCGGUAGUCCUGGCCCUAAACGGUGGAUACUAGGUGCGAGAGGUAUCGACCCCUCUCGUGCCGUCGCUAACGCAUUAAGUAUCCCGCCUGGGGAGUACGGCCGCAAGGUUGAAACUCAAAGGAAUUGACGGGGGCCCGCACAAGCGGUGGAGCAUGUGGUUUAAUUCGACGCAACGCGAAGAACCUUACCUGGGCUCGAAAUGCAUGGGACAAACCUGGAAACAGGUCUUCCGCAAGGACCGAUGUAUAGGUGCUGCAUGGCUGUCGUCAGCUCGUGUCGUGAGAUGUUGGGUUAAGUCCCGCAACGAGCGCAACCCUUGUUGUUAGUUACCAGCGGGUAAUGCCGGGAACUCUAACGAGACUGCCUGCGAUGAGCAGGAGGAAGGUGGGGACGACGUCAAGUCAUCAUGGCCCUUACGUCCAGGGCUACACACGUGCUACAAUGGCCGGUACAGAGAGAACCGAUGUCGCGAGGCGGAGGAAACCUUCAAAGCCGGCCCCAGUUCGGAUCGGAGUCUGCAAUUCGACUCCGUGAAGCCGGAAUCGCUAGUAAUCGCGGAUCAGAAUGCCGCGGUGAAUACGUUCCCGGGCCUUGUACACACCGCCCGUCACACCACGAAAGUGGGCUGUACCAGAAGUCGGUGCCGCAACCGCAAGGAGCAAGCCGCCAAAGGUAUGGUUCGUAAUUGGGGUGAAGUCGUAACAAGGUAACC
rnacentral:rRNA from 1 species